AAGUGGCGCACGGGUGAGUAACGCGUGGGUAAUCUACCCUCGAAUUGGGGAUAACAUCGCGAAAGUGAUGCUAAUACCGAAUGACAUUUUGAAAACAUAUGUUUUCAAGAUCAAAGGUGGCCUCUACAUGUAAGCUAUUGUUUGGGGAUGAGCCCGCGUACCAUUAGCUUGUUGGUAGGGUAAUGGCCUACCAAGGCUACGAUGGUUAGCUGGUCUGAGAGGAUGAUCAGCCACACUGGAACUGACACACGGUCCAGACUCCUACGGGAGGCAGCAGUGAGGAAUUUUGCGCAAUGGGGGAAACCCUGACGCAGCAACGCCGCGUGAGUGAUGAAGGCUUUCGGGUCGUAAAGCUCUGUCAAGUGGGAAGAAUCCAUAUGGUGUUAAUACCGCCAUAUGCUGACGGUACCACUGAAGGAAGCACCGGCUAACUCCGUGCCAGCAGCCGCGGUAAUACGGGGGGUGCGAGCGUUAUUCGGAAUUACUGGGCGUAAAGAGCGCGUAGGCGGUCUUUUAAGUCAGGUGUGAAAGCCCGGGGCUCAACCCCGGAAGUGCACUUGAAACUAAGAGACUUGAGUAUGGGAGAGGGAAGUGGAAAUUCCCGGUGUAGCGGUGAAAUGCGUAGAUAUCAGAGGAACAUCAGUGGCG
rnacentral:rRNA from 1 species